rnacentral:rRNA from 1 species
CAAUAGCGUAUAUUUAAGUUGCUGCAGUUAAAAAGCUCGUAGUUGGAUUUCGGGUGGGAAUGGCCGGUCCGCCGUUUCGGUGUGCACUUGCUACGCCCACCUUGCUGCCGGGGACGUGCUCUUGAGUUCACGCUCGGGACACGGAGUCGGCGAGGUUACUUUGAGUAAAUUAGAGUGUUCAAAGCAGGCCUACGCUCUGAAUACAUUAGCAUGGAAUAACACGAUAGGACUCUGGCCUAUCUUGUUGGUCUGUAGGACCGGAGUAAUGAUUAAGAGGGACAGUCGGGGGCAUUCGUAUUUCAUUGUCAGAGGUGAAAUUCUUGGAUUUAUGAAAGACGGACUACUGCGAAAGCAUUUGCCAAGGAUGUUUUCAUUAA